AUGGUAAGUGUGAUGGCAUUGCAGACAAGCCUUUGUACACCAAACAUCAAUGGGAUUAAUAAUGAAACUGAUCUACCGAUGAAAAAAACAACAGAUAGAUCCGUUUUGCAAUUGAAUUCGACUACUACACAAUAGAACAAAACACUAAGAAGAGAUUAGUGUCUGCAGAAUGGAAUUGGGGUUAGGUUAAUGGAAAAGAUUACUUAUCUGUGGAAACACCCAAUUCGCCGAUGACGGUCCCUUUCUUUGAGACAAAUGCUAAAGACUCUAUCAAUGUUGAGCAGGCUUUCUUAACUAUGGCAACAGAGAUUAAGAAGAAAUUAAGCCGAUGAGAAUUUGAGCCAACGGUUUUACAGUAGAUGUAGCCAGAGCUGAGGCUACUAAGGAAUUACUGUUGAGGCCGAAAUCGCCAUUGAAAGAAUUAAGAGCUCCUCAAGUUUUCACCAAAUUUCACUGCAGUAACACAAAAUGAUUACCAAGCUGUAGAAAAUUCAAAAAUAUCCCAAUGGAAUUAAGACAAGUCAGAGGAAGAAAGUAUGUAGGUUCAGAUUACCUUUCCGGAAGAUAGCAUCAAACAAGAUAAAAGCACUUCUGAGCAUGAAAAAGCACUUCUGAAAGCUUUCUCCUUUGAACCUUUAUACACCAACCGAAACCCUAAUCAGCCUGCAUAAUAGAAGAGAGCGAUUCAGAGAGAGGAUCGGACCCACCAACGAACCCUAAUUCGAAAACACAAGAAAAGACCUAGUCAGAGGCGGAAGAAAAUACUGUUCAACAAAAAACCUAAGGGAAUCCGGAUUCCACUCAGAAGGAAAAAACAAUAUCAUAAGCUAGAAGGAUUCAGGAAGAACCUUACUUACGCGUUCGUUGGUCGAUCCAGCUGCAAUCGGUUAGUUCCAUUUUCGAUCCAUCUUUUCUUUGAUGUAGCUUCAUGGUUCCUUGCAUGUUCUUGUUGUGUUAUGUUUGUUGAAUUUUGGUUGCUGUUCAAAAGAAUGAGAUCUUUGAAAAGAAGGUGGAUUUUGUAGAAAA
rnacentral:lncRNA from 1 species